AGCUUCUUUCAUUGUUGUCCUAUUUCCUUAAUCAAAAACACGUUUCCUCUCUUAUCACUCUCUACACUUCCGAUCGAUUCAUCGAAACCCUAGCCACCAUCUCCUCACUUCGUCCCCUAUUUUUGUUGCUUUUCAUCUUUACCUCAGCUAUUAUACUUACCAGGUCAAUGGCUCUCUCUCUUUCUCUCUCCCUCUCUCUCUGUUCGUGUAUAUAUAUAAUCGAUUGACCUUCCUUUUUUAUUGUUGCCCUCUUUUAACUCUGUAUGUUAGAUUAGUUACUAUCCAGCAACUUCUCACUCUCUACACUUCCAAUCAGUUCAUCGAAACCCUAGCCGCCAUCUCCGUUCACUUCAUCCUCUGUUUUGUUGCCUCUUCAUCUUCAGCUCCGUCAUUGUGCUUACCAAACUACACAUAUGCCACUUGGGCAAGCCAAUAAAAAGAGGUCGAAGACUUCAGUGUCAGAGGCAACCCCGAUUGAGGUCCCAGCUCACAUGUCAAUAGCUCCAUCUCCUGUGGAUGCAUCUGCAGAUCUAUCUCUUGUGCAUGCAUCUCCAUCUUUGUAAACAACUGAUAUUGGUUCAUCAGUGAAGCGAGUACGAGGUCCAACGACGGUUUAAUGUUCACCAGUGAAGUGAGUAUGAGGUCUAACAAGGGGUAAGAACACUAGUAGACUUAUCACCCAACAUAGUGGCAAGAAGCUUUUUGUUAGAGUUUCUAUUGAGCGGAGAAUAUUUGUGGGGCUUAAUGCCACUAAGGCGGCUAAUGAAUUGGGGGCACAAAUUUGAUUGCAAGGAACAUAAAAUUGGGAGGACAUUCCACCAGCCAUUUGAGCAGUUAUCGUAUAAUCCUUGCGGGAUAUGAUGAGAGUCCACUUCCACAAGAAAUUAUUGACACAAGGUCCACACAUUUGUUCAAAGGCUGGUGAUAUCAUAUGAAUCAACAUUACAAAGAGUUGGUGAAAGAAGGUAUAUAUCCUUAUAGUAAGCCAUUUGUUGGGGUGAGCCAAGAAGAUUGGAGGUACAUGAUUGAUGAAGUGUUUCUUGAUGACACACACAAGGUAGCCAAAGGCGUAGUCAUGUGUGUUUAUGGACCUGAGUUUGCCGGUGCAUUAAUUCUAAGUUGUGCUUAUACGUAGAGUUUUUGAGAUACUUCGCGUCGGACAAAUAUGACAUGCAUUUGAAAUCUUUGAUGGUUUUGUAAAUAUUUUUUAAUGUGGUGAAUUUGUUUUAAGGAUGGAUGGUUAUUUUGGACGUGCAAUGUGUUCAUGUUGAUUGGUGGUUGUAAUUACAUACAUUAACUACUAUUUUGACUUUAUAAUUGAUGAUUUUUUGUUUUUA